UAGGGCAGUUGGGCAACCGCGCGUCACGUAAGUGGCUCGAGGAACGUCCGGGCUCCGCAGAACGGGGUGGUGGGUAACGCCCACUCGGGGUAACCCGCAGGAAAGUGCCACAGAAAGUAGACCGCCGGCACGGUUCGCAAGGACUGUUGCCGGUAAGGGUGAAACGGUGGUGUAAGAGACCACCAGUUCCCCAGGUGACUGGGGAAGCUCGGUAAACCCCACCCGGAGCAAGGCCAGACAGGGCAUGAUUGAGGGCUGUUCGCCCGAGUGCCUGGGUAGGCUGCUAGAGGGCGUCGGCAACGGCGUCCGUAGAUGGAUGGUUGCCUCUUUGCCGCAGGUAACUGCGGCGGACGACAAAACCCGGCGUACAGACUGCCCUAUCCA
rnacentral:RNase_P_RNA from 1 species